CGAUAUUUGUGAUCUUGAUCUUGCAAGCUUGAUUUGAUUAAUGGUUCUUUCUUCUCUAGUAUCGUACUUAUCUUGCUUCUUUCAUGCAAAAAUGGAGUGAAUUUUCUGAAACUUUACUUGUGGUUUGCAAUUUUAUUAAGUAAAUUUUUCUUAAUACACACACACUCUUUAUUAAGUAACUUUUUCUUAACACACACACACUCUAUCUUCUUUCAUGCAAAUAUGGAGUGAAUUUUCAAGAGUAUUAUUUGUGGUUUGCAAUUGUAUUAAGUAACUUUUCUUAACACACACCACAUACACACACACACACACUCACACUCACAUUCACACUCACUCACUCUCACUCUCACUCUCACUCUCUCUCACCCUCACACUCACACUCACACUCACACUCACUCUCACACUCAGACACACACACACACACACACACUCACACGAACACGAACACGAACACGAACACGAACACGAACACACACACUCACACUCACACUCACACUCACACUCACACUCAUACACUCACAAACACGUACUCAUACAGUCACACACGCUCACUCUCACACAUUCACGCUCAUGCUCACAUUCACACUCAGAUAUAUAGUACACAUACACAUGUUGUGUAUGGACUGAUGUGUGUAUAUAUAUUAUGAUAUGUUUAUGCAUUUAUAUAUACAGUUGUUUGCUAUCAGUUAUAUACAAUUAUCAAUGUAUGUAUAUAAUGAUACGUGCACGCACAUGCACCCUUACGCAUUGAUAAGUGCGUAUGUACGGUAUAUGUUUGCACUAAUACAUGCAUACUAUAUAGAUAUAUAUGACCAUAUAGACAUUUAUUAGCACUUUACAUAUAUAUAUAUAUAGUUACGAUAUGUAUAUACUGAUAUGUUUUUGCGUGUAUGUAUAAACUUCCUAUCAGUUAUAUAUACACUGAUAUGCGCCCACACAUGCACCCUUACGUAUUGAUAGGGCAUACGUACAUUCCUAUAUACACUGAUAUGUAUGACCCUAUGAACACUACUUAUCAGUUUAUACAGUUAUUGGUGUAUAUGUACACUGAUAUGUAUAUAUUCACUCAUGUGCAUAUCUGUAUUGGGUUUAUAUAUACACUACUAUAUAAGACCAUAUGUGUACUUAUUAUCAGUGAUGUAUAUAAUUCUUAGCUCAAUUUGUGUACGUAUUGAUGUAUAUCAAUAUAUACCAUUCUUUUCAGAGUAUAUAUAUACUGAUGCAUAUAACCAUAUAAUACAUUAGUUAUAAGCUAUAUAUACAAUUAUUAGUAUGUAAAAAUACAUUGAUAUGUGUGUGUGAUGUCUGUAUUUAUAUGAUGUGUAUAUACGGAUUUGUGUGUAUGUGUAAAGUGCAUAACUAUAUAUAUACACUACAUUAAUAUAUACAUUGAUGUAUAUGACCAUACAUACACUUAUUAUUACUAUAUACCUUUAUUAACGUAUAUGUACACUGAUUUAUAUACUACACACACUCACUGUCACACUCACUCUUACCCUCACCCUCACACUCACACUCAUACUCACACUCACACUCACACUCACACUCACACUCACUCACUCAUACACACACACACUCACACACUUACACUCACACUCACACUCGCACCAGCACUCUCACUCUCACUCGCACUCACACUGACAUUGACACUUACACACACUCACACUCACACUCACACUCACAAAUAUAUACACUAUCACUUGUAAUCAAAUAUGCAAUUGCGAAAUUCCUUAUUACUUUGUAAAAAAUUAGGCAUAAGAAUGGGUUUCUUCUCUUGAUGAAUUGGGUAUGUUGAAUACCCUAUUGUGAUAGUCCAUGUAAAUUUUUUAUCUUAUUUGUACUUGUUUUUUAUUAUUAUUGAUGAGCUUCAUCUUCAAAUUGAGUUUUCUUGUAAAUCAACAAGCACGAAAGCAACUUAUCAUAGAGGCGGAUCUCUUUACGUUAUUCGAUAUUUGAGUUGCUUGAUGGUUCUUUCUUCUCUAUUAUAGUAUUGCUCUUGCUUCUUUCAUGCAAAUAAAGUGUGAAUUUUCUAGAGCUUUACUUGUGGCUUGCAAUUUUAUUAAGUAACUUUUUCUUAACACACACACACUCUUGCUUCUUUCAUGCAAAUAUGGAGUUAAUUUUCUGGCGCUUUACUUGUGUUUUUGCAAUUUUAUUAAGGAAAUUUUUCUUUACACACACACAUGCACCACACACACACACACACUCACACUCACACUCACUCUCACACUCACACUCACACUAAUGUAUAGGAAUGGGUUUAUAUAUACACUAAUGUAUAAGGUCAUGUAUAUACUUAUUAUCAGUGAUAUAUACAGUUAUCAGCUCUAUAUGUUUAUGUAUUGAUGUAUAUAAGCAUAGAAUACAUUAGUUAUCGGUUAUAUAUACAAUUACUAGUGUGAAAAAUACAUUGAUGUGUGUGUGAUGUUUGUGUAUGUGUAAAGUACGUAACUGUAUAUAUACAAUGUAUUAAUAUUUACUUUUAUGAAAAUACUGUUAAUGGCACAAAUUAAAGCUCAAAGCAUAAUUUUUUACUGAUAUAUAAGAAGCAGAGAGUGUGACUACAGGACCAAGUAAUCAAUAUUUUAUUGUUGAUUGUGUAAACUGUAAACUUACAGGAGCAAGCAAUUGUACAUAUAGGAUUAGUUCCCCAAACUUAAUCCUUCAGCUCUGUUUCCUCAAGAAAAUGAAAAGCCCUCUUCAAACUAUCCCAAAUCAGAAAGAAAAACCCUUUUCAAACUAUCCGAAAUCAGCUUUUCAUCUUCCUAAAUCAGCAUCCCAUCUUCCUUUUCUCUCUCUAAAAAUCAGUUAAGGCCUCUUCCAUUAGGGUUCUUUCUUUUCUCUCUAAAAAUCACUUAGGGCGGCCCCUUCCAUUAGGGUUUGUGAAAACUAUUUUAUUCUUCUUUCUUCUUGCUAUAAACCCUAAUGGUUAUGAGCCGAGCCAUAUUUACUUCUCUUCCUUUCCUUCGUCGUUUUUCUUCUUCUCUUUACACAGUAAACAUAGAUGUAAAUCCCAAAUUUAUAUGAACUUCUUCCAACUAAAUAAAUUUAUAAAACUUUAACCAUAGUUAUGGACUGACCAUAGACACCAUACCAUAAUUAAAUAAAUGUCGUGACAAAACAAAAAUCGUGUGUUUAUUUUUUGGUACCUGC
rnacentral:lncRNA from 1 species